UCCCGUAGUGGGGGAUAACGCCGCGAAAAGCGGCGCUAAUACCGCAUACGCUCUACGGAGGAAAGCAGGGGAUCGCAAGACCUUGUGCUAAGGGAGCGGCCGAUGUCCGAUUAGGUUGUUGGUGGGGUAAUGGCUUACCAAGCCUGCGAUCGGUAGCUGGUCUGAGAGGAUGAUCAGCCACACUGGGACUGAGACACGGCCCAGACUCCUACGGGAGGCAGCAGUGGGGAAUUUUGGACAAUGGGGGCAACCCUGAUCCAGCCAUGCCGCGUGCGGGAAGAAGGCCUUCGGGUUGUAAACCGCUUUUAGCCGGGACGAAAGCUUCACGGAUAACACCCGUGAGGGUUGACGGUACCGGCGGAAUAAGCACCGGCUAACUACGUGCCAGCAGCCGCGGUAAUACGUAGGGUGCGAGCGUUAAUCGGAAUUACUGGGCGUAAAGCGUGCGCAGGCGGUUCGUUGUGUCGGUGGUGAAAUCCCCGGGCUUAACCUGGGAAUUUCACACAGGAAUAGAGUUUGAUCAUGGCUCAGGGUCACUUAACGCGUGAAGUUGACCAAUCGUAUACA
rnacentral:rRNA from 1 species